rnacentral:rRNA from 1 species
CGUUCCUACGGGGGGCAGCAGUGGGGAAUAUUGCACAAUGGGGGAAACCCUGAUGCAGCGACGCCGCGUGAGUGAAGAAGUAAUUCGUUAUGUAAAGCUCUAUCAGCAGGGAAGAAAAUGACGGUACCUGAGUAAGAAGCCCCGGCUAACUACGUGCCAGCAGCCGCGGUAAUACGUAGGGGGCAAGCGUUAUCCGGAUUUACUGGGUGUAAAGGGAGCGUAGGCGGCCUGGCAAGCCUGAUGUGAAAUACCGGGGCCCAACCCCGGGGCUGCAUGGGGAACUGCCAGGCUGGAGUGCCGGAGAG